AGUGAACGCUGGCGGUAGGCCUAACACAUGCAAGUCGAACGGCAGCACAGUAAGAGCUUGCUCUUACGGGUGGCGAGUGGCGGACGGGUGAGGAAUACAUCGGAAUCUACUUUUUCGUGGGGGAUAACGUAGGGAAACUUACGCUAAUACCGCAUACGACCUACGGGUGAAAGCAGGGGAUCUUCGGACCUUGCGCGAGUGGAUGAGCCGAUGUGUGAUUAGCUGGUUGGCGGGGUAGAGGCCCACCAAGGCGACGAUGGGUAGCCGGCCUGAGAGGGUGGCCGGCAACAGGGGGACUGAGAGACGGGCCAGACUGAUACGGGAGGCAGCAGUGGGGAAUAUUGCACAAUGGGCGGAAGCAUGAUGCAGCAACGCCGCGUGCGGGAUGACGGCCUGCGGGUUGUAAACCGCUGUCGCCGGUGACGAAGCGUGAGUGACGGUAAUGGGUAAAGAAGCACCGGCUAACUACGUG
rnacentral:rRNA from 1 species